rnacentral:rRNA from 1 species
GGCAGACGGGUGAGUAACAUGCGGGUAUCUACCCUUUGGCCUGGAAUAACACGAGGAAACUUGUGCUAAUACCGGAUAAGUCUUUACGGAGAAAGCUUUAUGCACCAUUGGAUGAGCCCGCACUUGAUUAGUUUGUUGGUAGGGUAAUGGCCUACCAAGACUAUGAUCAAUAGCUGAUUUGAGAGGAUGAUCAGCCACAUUGGGACUGAGACACGGCCCAAACUCCUACGGGAGGCAGCAGUGGGGAAUCUUGCACAAUGGAGGAAACUCUGAUGCAGCGAUGCCGCGUGAGUGAAGAAGGCCUUUGGGUUGUAAAGCUCUUUCGUCGGGGAAGAAAAUGACUGUACCCGAAUAAGAAGGUCCGGCUAACUUCGUGCCAGCAGCCGCGGUAAUACGAAGGGACCUAGCGUAGUUCGGAAUUACUGGGCUUAAAGAGUUCGUAGGUGGUUGAAAAAGUUGGUGGUGAAAUCCC